rnacentral:rRNA from 1 species
UACGGAAGGUGCGAGCGUUGUUCGGAGUGAUUGGGCGUAAAGCGCACGUAGGCGGUUCGUUAUGUCGGAUGUGAAAGCCCUUGGCUUAACCGAGGAAGUGCAUCCGAAACUGGCGAGCUAGAGUACGAAAGAGGAUCGCGGAAUUCCCGGUGUAGAGGUGAAAUUCGUAGAUAUCGGGAGGAACACCGGUGGCGAAGGCGGCGAUCUGGGUCGAUACUGACGCUGAGGUGCGAAAGCGUGGGGAGCAAAC